rnacentral:lncRNA from 1 species
AUGGAGAAGGAGGUCCCUUCCCACUUCUCCCAAGACGAGGACGGAUGCAGCCUAAGGAGCGGAGGGACAACGAAAGGGACCUCGGGACACCCCUCGGGGCUCUACCUGCUCCGCCGCAGGCAGGAAACCAGGCAGCGAGCUAAGCCCGCUCGGGAAGGGGAAAGGCCUGCGCCUGCAGCGCUCGCCCCAGGCUGGCGGACGCGGGCCGGACCCCGGGCAGAGGGCUCCCGCCGGCCCGGCGGGCGCGGAAGAGGCAGCGAGGAGCUCCGAGGGGCUCGCGCUUCCCGGACAGCCGCGCAGUCCCCGCGCACGCCGCCGGCGGCCGCUCCCAGGCCACCCCCUCGCCGCCACCUGCGGGGACGGAGCGCCCGAGCUGCCGCGGGAGGGCGAGGACGCCGCCUGCCCUUCGCCCCCGGCGGGGGCACCCGACGGCCGCCCGCGGUCUGCAGCGCCGCCCCCGGCCGGCUCCCGGCGCCCCGAGCCGCGCGCACCCUCGUCCCUCCCCGCGCCGCGACCCGAGCGCCCAGGGGACGCCCGCCGGGAGCGCGGGGGGCCGGGCGGGGAGGGCGCUUACCUGGCCGGGUUGCGGCUCGCGCGCUCCUCGGCGGCUCCUCUCGGCGGCGGGGCGGGGGCGGGGGCGCGGGGCGGGGGCCGCUCCUCUCAGCGCGCGGGCCGCUCGGGCCGCCGCGCCGGACUCGGCAUCCGCGGCCGGGCGCGCUCCGCUCCGGGGCUCCCGCCGAACCGUCGGCCCGCCCGCGAUGCUGGGGCCGCCGCCCGGGGUCCGCGGAGCCCGGCCGGGCGGUCCGGGCCCUCGGGGUCCGCGCUCCCUCGGCGCCGGGAGGGCCCCCUGCCCCGGGCCCGGGACCCCGAGCUCGGCGGGCGGGGCGGGCGCGCUGCGGAGCCCGCGGCCGAGCCGGAGGGAGGCCGCCGCAGACGGUCGUCGCAGGCUGCGCGCCCUGCUCGGAGCGCAGGAGCCGGAGAAGUUUCGGCCCCGAGUCGGCUGCGGGGCGGCGGCGGCGCUCGGAGUGCAGGGCCGGCGCUGGGCGAGAGGCUCCCGGGCUCCCGGGCUCCCCGCCCCCGCCCCGCCUCCGCGCCGCCUCCCCGCCCCCCGGCCGCGCCGGCCCCGCGCUCCGUCCGACCGGCCGCGGGCGCGACACUCCGCCCGAGGGCUCCUCCCGGGCGCUGGGACCGUGA